UCAAACCGAGCAAGAACCGGAAGGGGCGGGGCUCUCCCCGUGAGCCUUUGCGACGUCCGCUGCUUAUCUGCAUACGGCGGGUCGUAGCCCUACCGUUCCCUCUUUCUCCAGACGAGCAAAUAAAAUGAAAAGCAACAGAAAAGAAUUAAAUGAGUAAGACAAUCUUCAGAGGAAAGAGGUUCUCGGUUCGACGGUCAACUUUGCCACUCACCGUAGGGCUAAUGAGAAUGGGAUUCAUUACCUAGGAAGUAAGCGUUAGUAGAGGUUUAUGCCUUAAACUUAUGAGUAAGGAAAAUAACGAUUCGGGGUGACGCCCGAAUCCUCACUGCUAAUGUGAGACGAAUUUUUGAGCGGGUAAAGGUUGCCCCUACGGUGACCCGCCUACUUUGCGGGAUGCCUGGGUGUUGCGAUCUGCCCGUACCCCUUGCAUUUAAAAGUCUCCAGCACUGAUCCCGGUGGGAGGUUCAGUAUGUCGAACCAGUGAAUGAAAAAUACAACAACAGCAGGAAACGGAAUUCCUUGGCGAUCCAGUGGUGAGGACUGCGCGGUUCUGCUGCAGCGAGCCCGGGGUUAGAUCCCUGAUCGCGGAAGUAAAACCCCCGCAUGCAGCGCGGUGUGGCCGAAACACCACAAACAGAAACAUAAAACAAAGACUAAACGUGCAACGCGUUUUAGACGAGCGCCGAACAAAGAUUAAGUGCCCUAUGAAUCACUGCUGUAAGUACAACGGGUGAGUGGAGUUUUGUGUUCUCGACAGAACAUCACACCGCAGAUGAAAACCUGGCAUCAGAAAGAAGGUCCGUGGAGAGACGAGCUGGUGAAGAUUGGGCACUGGAGGAGGGAAAUCCAGGUCCCCGCCUUCGCAGCCGUGAUUGGCUGCUGGCUGGCCCUCCUUUUCUCAGUCGUGAAACAGGACCAUUAACUCCUCCCUCCGCGAGGUGCCGGGAAAGAACGCGGAAACCAGGAACCAACCCUUGGCCGGCUGCACAGCGAAGGGCAGGCAGGUGCGCAGGAUUAGGAAAGGGCCAGAGGAGCGCGGGAGUUAAGGCCCUUUCGCACCUCCACGCGAAGAAAGCGAAGUAUGGGGACAGGCACCAGGAGAUCUAAUGUGUGUCAAGCGCUCAGCAGAGUCCUCAGCAGACGGUAGGUGUAGAGAAGAGCCAUCAGGGCCUGAGAGGCCCAGGCUGAGUCCUUCCCCUGCCCACUGAGGAGUCCCAGCCCUGCUCCAGGAUGUGUGAGGGCCAGAGACAGAAUGGAAGGUGAGAGAUGAAAGGGGAGAGUGGCUCUCUAGCCCCGAGGCCUCCUGUGAACUCCCCCGUCUUCUCCUCUUCCCCACUCCACUCCAGCCACACUGGCCCUCACUGUGUCCCAGGGCCUCCGCACUUGCUGGUCACUCCCGCUGGAGUACCCCUCUAGCCCUGCCUCCCUCUCCAGUCUCAUCCUCACUGUCCCCUCAGCCACCUGCCUUCCUUGAUCUGUUUCUGGAAGUUUCUUCCACAAGCUUGUUCUAGCCACAAGGCCUUCACGCUUGCUGUUCCGCCUUGAACACCUACCCCAGUGGGGCCAGCUCCUUCCCUUCACGUCGCAGCACAAAGGUCACCUCCUCAGAGGGAGUUCCUGCUGCCCAACUCUGAGAACAGCCCUCAUUCCCACACUGUCCUGCCUUUUUUUGUUUUUUUAAUUUUAUUUUUAUUUUUGGUUGCGAUGGGUCUUUGUUGCUGCACAGGGACUUUCUCUAGUUGCGGUGAGCGGGGGCUAUUC